GUGUUGUCUCUCUUUAUGUAGUGUUGUGUUGUCUCUCUCUUUAUGUAGUGUUGUGUUGUCUCUCUCUUUAUGUAGUGUUGUGUUGUCUCUCUCUUUAUGUAGUGUUGUGGUGUCUCGCUUUAUGUAGUGUUGUGGUGUCUCUCUUUAUGUAGUGUUGUGGUGUCUCUCUUUAUGUAGUGUUGUGGUGUCUCUCUCUUUAUGUAGUGUUGUGUUGUCUCUCUUUAUUGUUGUGGUGUCUCUCUUUAUGUAGUGUUGUGGUGUCUCUCUUUAUGUAGUGUUGUGGUGUCUCUCUGUAUUGUUGUGGUGUCUCUCUUUAUGUAGUGUUGUGGUGUCUCUCUUUAUGUAGUGUUGUGGUGUCUCUCUCUUUAUGUAGUGUUGUGUUGUCUCUCUUUAUGUAGUGUUGUGGUGUCUCUCUCUUUA
rnacentral:lncRNA from 1 species